rnacentral:rRNA from 1 species
UACGUAGGGCGCAAGCGUUAUCCGGAAUUAUUGGGUGUAAAGAGCUCGUAGGCGGUUUGUCGCGUCUGCCGUGAAAGUCCGGGGCUUAACUCCGGAUCUGCGGUGGGUACGGGCAGACUAGAGUGAUGUAGGGGAGACUGGAAUUCCUGGUGUAGCGGUGAAAUGCGCAGAUAUCAGGAGGAACACCGAUGGCGAAGGCAGGUCUCUGGGCAUUAACUGACGCUGAGGAGCGAAAGCAUGGGGGAGCGAACAGG